GGUUACACGGAGCGGCACAGCCCUCCCAUCGUGGUUUGUCACGGAAACCGGAGGAAAAAAGCUCCCACCUUCUCCUCCUCCCAUAGACUGAGGCUGGGGAGGAACUGAAGAAUCUAAUGCCUACGAGAUGACAUUUCCGAGUUAAGGGAGCCUAGUUUUUGUGUUCCUGAAGGGAGUGCUCGCCGAGAGGGAAACGCCUCAGACGUGAAGACAGUUCUUACUCUGGAAAAUAGGAUUACCCUGAAGGUAUUGAAGGAGUUUUCAGAAGAGAAAUAAUAGAGGACUACGGUCUGCAAGCAAGGAGUGCCAAGUGUCUGCAGAGGCAACAACACUACGCGGCUCCGUGGGGUGUGCACGCGCAAGCCGAGCGUGGGAGACUGUCCACCCGUCACACUUGUACUUUCACUGGAACCUGGAGAACAUGCUACCCAAAGCGCAACUGUUCAUCCGCUUCCUUUCAGCGAUCCAACUUCAAGAGUUCUGUCCCAAGAAUUCAAAACCGUGAGAAAAGUUGUGCGGACGACAGUCUCCCGAAGGCCAGUCACUGUUCCGCAGUAGAAGAAGAAGAGAGGUCAAGUCAUGGUCCAUUCAGAAUAUGGAAUAUUACGGAGGCACGGGGAUUAUUUUGACAGGUGGCAGUAUGUGAAACCCACCCCCACGAAGAUGUGGACUAGGAGAUAGAUACAGGAAGAUUGCAGAAAACCGGAAAAGAAAGCGGAGUUCGGGGGCAGGUGACUCUAACGAGGUGUUACGUGACGCAUGCUCACAUUUCUGUUUUCCUAAUUACGUAACCGAUACAGGGAAGCUUUCCGGUCUUAACAUAUUUAAGUUAUACGGAAGCGUGUUCAGUAGCAGGUGGAGGACGCCACCAGGUGGCUGCUCCUGGCUUGUCUGCUCCCCAUUAAUCAGACGGUGUCAGCUCUCUGUCUUCUUCCUCAGAGGCACGCGCUCGCGCAGGCGCAUUAUAUGUGGCAUUAUUUUAACAUGAAAGUGAUAAUAUUGUAUUUCUUGAAACUCGGUUCUUUUAACAAUAUGCACUCUAGGUCUUUCUGGAUCAAUAAAUAUAAAUCUACCUCA